AAACAUUUGGAUACAAUCAAUUUUCAAGGGAGGUAGCUAAAAUCCAAUAUCUAAACUCUAGCUACACUAUCGAAUGCCUAAAACUAUCAACAAAUAAUACCAUAUGUUCCAUCCAAACAUUCAAAACUUGUUGAGAUCCGGUCCUAUUACUAUUAAUUUCCCAAUUUUCAAUAGUUCAACGAUUCAUAAUGUAAUUGUUUUUGUGUGUGCCCAACUUUUAAUGUGUAUUACGAAAUGAGAAUUCUUAUGAGAAGUUUAAGUCUGAGUCAUACAAUAUAUAUGGAUGGUCAAAAAUUACGAGUUAGAGAUCAUAUAACCACUGAAAAAAAUAAUGAGCAAUUAUCUUUAAAUCUUAGACUAUUAAAAAAUGAUUUAAUAGUCUAUAUUUUAUAGUUCUCUUUCUCACAAUGGCAAGAGUUUCUAUUUAAAAUUACGCCAUGCUUACCUGCUCAAGAUGUAUGCUUCCACCAUUCUCAUUAGUAAUGCCCACCGAAAGUGAAUGAGAAACUUUUGAGUCAACAAUUUCCUCUUCUGUAUCUUUUACACGAUCAACCUCUCCUUCACUUUCCUUGCCACUAGCAGACAUAGCUCUAGCGGAAGAAGCUCUAGUGGAAGUCUCGUGGCUCCACUAUAAAAAUUCAGCCAUAUGAGUAAGCCGGUAAAUAGCAAUAUAGAAAAGCAUUUGCUCACAUUCAAAAACAAAAUGGAAACUGGUUCUAAAUCAGAAUACUAACGUUCUGGGUCGUCUCAAGUUAUAUCUUGUUUCACCAGCAGUUUGUGCAGGUGGAGCCGCAGCCUUCUGUCGCCUUUUUUUGCGCUGCCCUGGUAUGACACUGUCAGAAUGUCCUUCACUGGCAUCUCCAUCAUGCCCACUUACAGUCAUUUGAGAUGUUUGAACCCGGCUACGCUUCCUGACAUUCAUUGCCGUUCUUCUAUUGGAUGGUCUCUGACUUUCAGAAUCCACAUUGGCAGAAUCCUCAGUAUUUCCAUUUGUAAACUCAGUUUCAUGAUUAUCCACAGAUUCCGCAGGUAAUUCAGCAGCUUCCCCAAGUAUACCCCCCUAGCCUCUUUGAGAACAGCUUUCACAGUGUGUGUGCGCAUUAUUCUGGUUCUUCCCCCUCCCUUGCUAGGUUGCUGCUGCCCAGCCUUUGAAUCUUCUGGUGCCUUACUGUCAACGUUGCUCUGGGUUUCAACUCUAGGGUCUUGAUCGGCAGCUUCAACUUCUCUGAUGUCAUUGCCAGAUAGUAACCUCCGACCAUCAAAAGAAUCAUUUACAACAUCAAACGACAACUCUGCUUCAUUUUCAUGGUCAGGAAUUCUUCCUGGUGAAUCUUCCCUGUUAGUUUUCUCAACAUCUUUUGGAGAACCAGGAUCUUUUGUAUCAAAUUUACUAAUUGGGGAGAUUUUAAAAAUCUUAGAAGUACAUUUCCGUAGCCAAGAGAUAGUGCCAACAGAAACAGGUGAGUUUGGAUAUGUUGCAAUUCUCCAAUAUUUUGUCUCGAAGAAUCUAAAUUUUCAAUGGAAUCUCCCAUCAUAAUAACAUUAUUAGGAGGUAUGCAACUAUAUUACAUAUUUAUUGUUUUUUAUUAUUAUUAGUUUUUUUCAUAAAUUAAUUUUUUUACAUAAAAGUGUUUAAUAUAAUUUAAACUUUUUUAAAAAAUAUUCAUAUGAUUUUUUUAGGAAAAAAAUUUAUAACUAAGAAAACGAAAAUAGAUACUUAAUAUAUAUAUAUAUAUUGUAAGGGAUGAAAAAAUCACUAAUCUGUUUUAGUUGUUUAAUUAACUAUAAAAGAGUUAUAAAAUUAUAAUUAUUAAGAGGUAUUUGUUACAAAUUUAUUAUUUUUUCAUCAUUAUUAGUUUUUUUUUUUCAUUGCUUAAUUUUCUUAGUAUUUAAUAUAAUUUAGAUAUAAUGUUUGUGGUUCAAUUAAGAUGACAAAGAUAUAAGACCAACAUUAUUGGGAUUUUUGGGAGGCAUGCAACUUUGUUAUAUGGCUGUCUUGUGAAAGUGAGCUUAAUUUUUUCUAUUUUUCAACCAUGAAUAUAUGUAGUGUGAAGUUUACCUUAAUUAUUACCUUUAUUAUAGUUUUUUUUUAUAUUACUUGAAGUUUAAGAUACAAAUAGAUUUUUUUUUUGUCUAUAUCUCUUGGUUCUUUUGUUGUAUGGGAGGUAUUGAAGUGGUGGAAGGUAGUAUAGAAAUAGUUGAUGGUGUAGUUAACUCUAAAAUCAACACCACUUUAUUAAAAGCUAUGUAUUCUACUUAUUUAUCAUUUCAUUUUGUUAUUUUAUUAGAGUUUGUACUUAAAAAUAUAUUUGUACUUUUUUCCUUUAUUUAAAUAUAUAAGCACUCUUAAAUGAAAUAACAUUCACCAAAACAAUGAACCAGGUAAUGAAACAGAGUCUAGUCAUGCUAUCAUGACUACUCGGCAAAGAAAUUUAGAUGAGUUUAAAUCCAAUUUAACAAGUGAAGAAGAUGACCUUAAGAAACAAUUACAAUAUCUGAAAGUCAGAAGGUAAGAAGCACAAGCGAGUUGUUGAUGAGUAGUUUGACAAACUACAGAAUAUGAAACAAAGAGCUAUGGAUGUAAAAAACUCACUAAAUAAGUCUGGUUGGCCUAACUUCAAUGUGUAAGAAGGAGAAAUAAGACAUCUAAUUACAGGAAUGCAAAAUCAUAAGAAAUGCAAGUCUCUUCUGUUGUUAAAUGAAUUUGUUGGUAGGGAAUUCGAAGUAAAUGUUAAGAAGAUGUGGAAGCUUUUGCAAGAUGAUCGAGUUUUCACUAUUGGCAUAUAUGGAAUAGGAGGAUUCGGAAAAACAUUCUUAUAACUUAUAUAUACAAUGAGAUAAAAAGAAGCAAAAUUUUCGAGGAUGUCUUAUGGGUAACUGUUUGUCAUCAUUUCAACGUCUCCAAAUUGCAAUAGAACAUUGCAGAAGAAAUAAAGGUAAACCUUUACGGAUAUAAUAACGAGAAAAGUAGAGCAAUAAUUUUGGCAUCAAAGUUGCGAAAAAUAAAAAACACAGUACUUAUUUUGGACGAUACUUGGAAAUAUAUCGAUCUAAAAAAUGUGGAAAUUCUUCUUUGAGUAAAGGGUAUUAAAGUGGUCAUUACAAGUCGCUUAAGACAUGUGUGUCAAGAGAUGUAGUGCUUAUAAGAUAAUAUGAUAGAAGUGGGAGCUUUCUAUGAUGAUGAUGAAUAUGAAGAAACUUGGAAGUUGUUUUUGCUACAACUUCAACACUUUGGGACGCCUCCCAAACUUCCUCUACAAGUACGAGAUAUUGCAAGAUGUGUUGUAAGUAAAUGUGAUAGUUUACCACUUGCAAUAAGCGUGAUGGUUUGAAUAAUGAAAGGGAAAACUAGUAUCCAUGAGUGAAGAUAUGCCCUGAAUCAAUUUGACAAAUGGGAAAUGGGAAAGGAGAUGGAGGAAGAAGUUUUAACUGACGUAGCUAUGAUAAUUUAGCUAAAAAGAACGUGAAAAAAUGUUUCUUAUACAAUGCAUUGCUCCCUAAGUUUUUUUUUGUUAGGGAUGAUUUGAUUAUGAUUCUUGUUGAUAUGGAACUCUUAAAUGGAAGGAGGAGUUUGGAGGAAAUAUUUGAUGAGGCAAAUAACAUAAUGGAUAAACUCAUAAAUCAUUCAUUAUUGUUGGAGCAUGAUUCAAUUUUAAGAAUGCAAGGUCUGGUGAAGAAAAUGGUAUAGAAUAUCUUGAAGGAGAGUGAUGCUAACACAAUGCUAAAAUGCAAUGAAUAUAUAAAAAGCAUAUAUGAAAUACUGGAAUGGUCAACUAAUUUGGAAAUCAUUUCUCUUGCUAACAAUAUUAUAGAAGAGAUUCCAGAUGGCACAUCUCUUAAUUGUCCACGCUUGUCCACCUUGCUUUUAUUUGACAAUUCAAUUGGACAUACAUGAGUGCUCUAAUAACACUUGGUUUAUCAGAAAAGCAUAACUAACAUGUUUGCCUCAAUCUUUGUCGAACGCGAGAAGUCUCUGAACUUUGGGGUUGUGAAUCUCAUCUUUCCACUUUUAUAUGUCGUCCCUUCUACAUCUUUUACUUCUAUACCUCCCGAACAAUGCCAGAGAUUCAAGUACUGAAUGUUGGUCAAACUAGAGAGAAAAUUUCCUGGUACCAAUUCCAAAUUGACUUUAUUGGACAUAUCUAGCCAUUUCAAGUUUAUUAAAUUUUUCAAACCUUCUGAUAAUGCUUGUAUGGAACAACCUGAAAUUUGCAACUUUAACAAUGAUGGUAGGUCUCCCAAUGGAGGUAUAUCAUUUAAUUCUUAACAUUUGUGGUCAUCAAAGAAGGGAGAGACCUCACGUUUCGACAAAGAACGAGGCAAACAUGUUAAGUUCUGCUUUUCUGAUAAACCAAUUGUUGUUAUAGCAUUCAUGUAUGUGAAAAAACACUCUAGAAUAUAUCCAAUUGAAUUGUCAAAUAAAAGCAAGGUGGACAAGUGUGGACAAUUAAGAGAUGUGUCCUCUGAAAUUUCUUCUAUACUAUUGUUAGCAAGAGAAAUUGUUUCCAACCAUUCCCCUAUGUUAGAUAUGUUUUUCAUAUAUUCAUUACAUUUAAGCAUGGUGUUAGCGUCACUCUCCUCAACAUAUUCCAGGCCAUUUUCUUCACCAAACUUUGCAUUCUUAGAAUUGAAUCAUGCUCUAAUAAUAAUGAACGAUUUAUGAGAGUAUAUCCACUGUGUCAUUUUCCUCGUCAAAUAUUUCCUCCAAACUUCUCUUCCCAUUUAAGAGUCUCAUAUCAACAAGCAUGGGAAUCAAAUCUUCUCUAAUAAAAAAUUCAGGUAGCAAUGCACUGUACAAGAAACAUUUUUUCACGUCCUUUCUAGCUAAAUUAUCAUAACUACAUCUUAGUAAGUUAACACUUCUUCCUGCAUUGUCACUCCCAUUUGUCAAAUUUAUUGAGGGCAUAACUCCACUCAUGGAUGCUAGUUCUCCCCCUCAUGGUUCGAGUUAUCACACUUAUUGCAAGUGGUAAGUCAUCACAUUUACUUACAACACAUCUUGCAAUAUCUUGCACUUGAAGAGGAAGUUUUGAAGGUGUUCCAAGGUGUCCAAGUCGUAGCAAAAACAACUCUCAAGCUUCUCCAUACUCAUCAUCAUCAUAGAAAGUCCUCAUUUCUAUCAUAUUAACUGAUAGACGCUACAUCUCUUGACACACAUGUCUCAACUGACUUGUCAUCACCACUUUAAUACCCUUUACUCCAAGAAAAAUCUCCACGUUUUUUAAAUCGAUAUAUUUCAAAAUAUCAUCCAAAAUAAGUAUUGAUUUUUCUUUUUCCCUGCCAAAAUUAUUGCUCUACUAUUCUCAUUUUCAUAUCCGCAAAGGUUUACCUUAAUUUUUUCUGCAAUAUGUUGUUACAUUUUGAAAAUAUUAAAAUCAUGAAAGAUUGUUACCCAUCAGACAUCCUAAAAAAAUUUGCUUCUUUUUAUCUGCCUCUGGAUAUAAGUUGCUAGAAAUGUUUUUCCGACACCCCCCAUUUCCAUAUACCUCAAUAAUACUCGAUCAUCUCGCAAAAGUUUCCACAUCUUCUUGACAUUACCUUCAAAUUCCCUAUCAACAAAUUCAUUUGACAGCAUAAAAGACUUGCAUUUCUUAUGAUUUUGCAUUCCUUUAUUCAGAUGUCUUAUUUCUCCUUCAUGCACAUUAAAGUUAGGCUGACCAGAUUGAUUCAGUGAGAUUUUUAUAUUCAUAGCUCUUUGUUUCAUAUUUUAGAGUUUGUCAAACCGCUCAUCAAUCACUCGCUUGCGCUUCUUGCCUUAUGACCUCAGAUAUUGUAAUUGUUGCUAAAGGUCAUCUUCUUCCCUUAUUAUAUUGGAUAUAAACUUAUCUAAAUUUCUUUGUUGGAUAGUCAUGACAACAUUAUGCUUCAUUACCUAGUUCAUUGUUUUGGUGAAUGUUAUUUCAAUUAAGAGUGUUUAUAUAUUUAAAUAAAGAGAAAAAUACAAAUACAUCUUUUAAGUAUAAACUCUAAUAAAAUAAAAUGAUAAAUAAGUAGAAUAUGUACCUUUUAGUAAAGUGGUGUUCAUUUCAGAGUUAAUUGUACCAUCAACUAUUUCUAUACUACCUUCCCGCACUUCAAUACUUUCAAUCCAACAAGAGAACAAGAGAUGUAGACAAAAAAAAGUAUAUUCAUAUCUUAAGCUUCAAGUAAUAUAAAAAAAAAUAACUAUAAUAAAACUAAUAACUAAUGUAAACUUCAUAAUACAUAUAUUUAUUCAUGGUUGAAAAAUAGAAAUAAUUAAGUUAAAUUUCACAAGACAUAUAACAAAAUUGCAUGCUUCCUAAUAAUCCCAGUAAUGUUGAUCUUAUAUCUCCUUCGUCGUUAAUUGAAAACCGCCAAUGAUAUUAGUAUAGUUGUUUCUCCUCCUAUUACAAUCCCUUUAACACAGUAUAAGAUGAUUAAAACAUUAAGUGUCAAUAUCUAUAUAUAUAUAUAUAUAUAUAUAUAUAUAUAUAUAUAUAUAUAUAUAUAUAUAUAUAUAUAAACUAGAGUGUCUUUUUGUUUUCUUGAUUAUAAGUUUUUUUUUUAAAAGUUGUCAUAAUAUGGUUAUUUUUUAAAGAAGUCUAAAUUAUAUUAAACAAUAAAAAAAUUAAUCCAUGAAAAAAAAACUAAUAAUAAUAAAAAAUAAUAAAUUUGCAACAAAGUUACAUUCCUCCUAAUAAUAAUGAUUUUAUAAUUCUUUUAAAGUUAAUUAAACAUCCAUAAUAGUAUUAAUCAUUUUUCCAUCCCUUACAAAAUAUAUAUAUAUAUAUAUAUAUAUAUAUAUAUAUAUAUAUAUAUAUAUUUGAAAAAAAUCAUAUUUAAUAUGAUUAUUUUCUAGAAAAGUUUAAAUUAUAUUAAACACUUUUAUAUAAGAAAAUUUAUCCAUGAAAAAAAACUAAUAAUGAUGAAAAAAAGCAAUAAAUAUGUAAUAAAGUUACAUACCUCCUGUCACAGCUGGAAUCGACGGAACGACCACCAUAGGUUAUUCUAAAAACUAUGGAAAAACCAUAAAGAAAAACAAUGUCUACAAAAACCAGAUUCUAGGUUCGGGAGUUGGUUAUGCAUAGGGAAGGUACUAGCACCCUACAGGGUCUAUCCGAAAGUAGUACCCUUAAUUAAAUACGCGAAUGUGAUGUGAUUUUCAAAUGUUUAAUUAUCUCCAAAAGUGACACUUUAAAGAAACAAAAUAUGUAAUUUUUAAUUUGAGCCUGAAAGUGAUUGACCUUUCUCCUACGUAUUCUCGUUCAAAAUGAGAAAUUAGGUUACGUAGUUCUUUUUGAAACUGUCUAGAAAGUUUGUUUGGGAAAAUUGUUUGAGAGAUGGAAAAUUUUAGAUUUUUGGGAAAGUGAACCUGACCAAGACUAGCCUUGAUCCUGCGUAUAUAUUCGCUCUUAACAGAGAAUCAAAGAUCAUCGUAGUUCUGACAAAAGAUUCUUUGUUUCUAAAUUUAGAUGUUUUUAAUUUUUGAAAAUUUUAUAUUUUUUAGUAUUUUUGAGAAAAAGAAAGUCAUGAGUACUAAACCGACACAAAUAGUCACAUGAGUACUUAUGUUAUACUUUUAGAAUGAUAUUUAAAUACUUUUAAUUACUUUUUAAAAAGAAAAAAACAUUAGACACUAGGACAAUACGGACAACCACACGAGUGUUUAUACUUUCAAAAACAUUAUUUUCAUUAUUUUUUGUUUAUUUAAAAAAAAAAGAAAAAAUGUAUUAAAUACUAGAACAAGCGAUCACAAGUACUCAUAUUAUUAAAACAUUAUAAGUAAAUUUUUUGUUCUCUUCUCUUUUAUUUAUAAUUUUUAUGCAUCUUUUAAACAUAUUAUAUACAUUUUACAAGGGUAAGUGUUUAAAAUAAAAUAAAAGUGAUCAAGAAUAACAAAAUAACAAAGUGCAAAUAAAAUACGAGCAAACCUAAGAAAAAGAAAAAAUAAAACAAAGACAUAGGGGUGUGGUUUAGCAAAACUGGGAGUAUAUGAACUAAAAAUAAUAAAAGGCAGGCCGACAUGGCAGUGGGGGUGCAGGAAGGAAAAAGGAGUGCGCAGGGAAACAAACAAAACAGAAAAAACCCAAAAGAAAUUGGGUGCAUGUAUGGAAAACAAUGGUGCAAACAGGAAAAGAAAAAGGUUUCCUCUAAACUUAGGCCCAAGGUUUUCAACUCAGAAACCCCUAGGGGUUGUACCAACUUCACCUCAUUUUACCAUUUGUGCAUUCAGCGUCUAGGAGACCCAGCCUCUGAGCAAAAACCUAAAGGCACCCAACCAGCCGCCGCGAACCGCAUGGCGACGCUCGACGCCGGAGCCGUCUCCGGCCACGGCACCAGGCUUUAUCCCUCUCUUCUUUUCUCCACGCGUGAGAGGGAAGCUUCCCCUCCAUCUUCACCUUGUCAGAACCAAGGAGUAGCAAAAAGCCACCGCCAACCACCACCGCUGGUGCCGCCAUUGGGUGAGCUUCUUCCUCAAUCACGAUCGUCAUUGGGUCAGCUCCUCCUGGCCACUCCAGCGGCUUCCGUGGGCCGCCUUGCCACCGCACAGCCUCGCCGGAGUCACUGUACUCACCCGUGCCACCAUCGCCGCUUUUCUUCCUCUCCACUCGAGGGUUUCUUUUCUUCUCUUUGAAAUACUGAAAAUCCCCACCCACGCUAGCGACCCUCCCGCACCACUAUCGAAGAAAGUGUUUUUGAAUGUCAUUUACUUGUUGAUUUUUGUAUUAUUUGAUGUUUUGUCCAUUGGGAGGAAGAAAGUGUUUUUGAAUGUCAUUUACUUAGUUGAUUUUUGUAUUAUUUAAUGUUUUGUCCAUUGGGAUUGGAAAUGAUGAGUGUGUCGUGGGGGUGGGUGAGGAUGGUUGUGGCGAGGAUGUUGAUUGGGGAAGGCAAAGAUGAAUGGGGCGAGCUGUUCUAGAGGAACGAUUUUGAAUAAACUGGCACGAGAUUUGUGAUUUGGUCUAUUUGUUCUGUUUUUUUUUAAUGCAGGGGAACUAUGAGCAGGGUGUAACAAAAAGGAUGAAAAUGGGGAUAUCAGUGGGCAGAAUCAUGUAUGGAGGCCAUUUAAUGAUUUUGAUGGCAAAGAGAAAUCAAAGAGUGGAUCUGGGAAGGUGAUGAUGGUGCUGGGUAAGGGUGAAAAUCAUUAAUAAAAGGCAGAAAAAUGCGGCUAGAGGUUUCAGGUUAAAGAAGAAGUGUGAUUAUUGGAUGAUGACGGAGAAAGGGAAAUAUCUACACAACAAUAUCAUAUCCAAGCAGAGCAACAGUAAGCAUAAAAGGAAGUAUACAAUGCAGCAAGCUUACUCGAUUAUAGACACAAGUGAGUAAAAUGUUACUUACCUCUUGGAGCUCCGUUUGCUACUGUCAGCUUCGUAUCUCUGAUGGCUUCCUCCUCUUUUUUGGCGAGCUCUCUUUUUCUGUUGAAGGUGAAUGGGAGUUGCAGCGACAGGGAAUGGAUGAUGGUCGGUGUUUUUUUUGGGUGAGAUGAAAUCGAGAGUGGUGUGUUUAUUCUCCGGCAAUGAGGUCUCUCCAAACUUUCUUUAUGUGUGCCCAGGAAAACGCUCCCCCUUUCUGACUUAGGAUUUUCCUUUAUUUUGUCCCUUUUCUUUUUCCGGCCAAACCCUCUAUUUACUGCUAAGGAAUUUUCCCAACAGUUUCCUCUUUGAUACCUGCACGCACAGGUAGAGCUGUCAAAUUAGCCCAUUGCACAGGGCUCUUCCCGCCAAAACCAAAACGCAAAAACCAUAGUUGUUCGUAAUGUGGCUUGUAUAUUCAUUUUCAAUUUCCUUUUUUUUUCUUUUUUUUAAUUAUAUUAAAAGCAAACUAUUACACACAUUUUUAUCUAAUAGUUAGAAUUUUUUUUAUUAGAAAAACAAAUGAAAAGAGAAAUUAAUGAUGAUUAAAACUUAAAAAGUAAGUUCAAAAAUAAAAGUUAAAAUAAAAACGAAAAUAAAUAAAUAAAAAUAAAACACAAUAAUAAAAACCUAAAAUAAAAUAAAAAUGAAAGAAAAUAAUAUAAAAUAAGACGAAAAUAAAAAAUAUAUAUAUAUAUUAAUUUGUCAAUCAGAAUUGGGUGUUGACAAUUUUAUAAUUCUUUCAAGAUUAAUUGAGUCACCAACAAUAUUAGUCACUUUUCCACCUCUAGAUAUUCUUUCCAUACAACAAAAUAUGAUUAAAAACAUUAAAUAUUUAUAUAUUUAUUAUGACCUGGGCAUAAUGCUAACUUAAAUUCAAGUGAUUCUACUCCAAUGUAUUAAUAAAAACGUGUUCCCACUAGUUUUUAAUGAAUGACAUUUUUAAUAAAUGCAUGGGAUUUUUUAUAAAAGCAACGGCCAUUGGAAUACAUGAAUUAUAGCAAUAUCCUGGAUAUAUAUAACACUAAAACAAAAAUACCUCAGAUGGAAAGGACAUAGGGACAUUAAACUAAGGACAAUGAUAUGAUUUUAUAAUAACUCUUUUCAUUGUUUUAUUGGUUCUAAUAUUUAAAAUAAACCAAACAAAAAUAGUUAAAGAUACAUUUUCCUUAAACUAAUAAUAAUAUCAAAACCAUGAAAUUUCCUUGUUUGCCAAACACACGAACAAAAGGGUUCAAUCUCUUUAUAGACUCAUCCAUGAACGUCUUUCAAUGAAUGCAUCAUGCCUCACCAUGCAUGUCAUUAUUCAUGCAAAGAGAGUAAAAUGGGCACACACAAGGAAUCAAUUGUCCUUGCAGUCAUACAUAUUCUAAAUAGGACCCACAAAAAACAACAAUUCAAAUGCAUAUCUCGAUAUAAACCAAUCGCAUGCACUUAAUGCUAUGAGUUAUGUAACCUUGCCUUAUACCAUCCAAUAAAUUGAUCAUCACAUGUAAACAAAACAGUAAACCCACAUAUGAAAAAUGUAGAAAAAGUUUACAUGCAAAUGGGCCAGGCUGCCCCUAAAGCAUAUCCCACAAUCGAAAUGGUAUCCAAUUUUUGCAUAUCCGAAAAGGACGCACUGUCACGCCCGCUUACAAGCUAAAUAUUGUGUGCAUCACACGUUCAUUUUUACAUAACCUUCAAAACCAAAUGCCUAGCCUAUGUUGUAUAAAAUCAUGAGAUAACCUGCUCCCUUUGUCAUUGUUGUUAUUCCAAACCAAUUAUGAUAUUCCCAUUGACACUUCUAUAAAAGUAAAACAAUAUAAAAAAUGUAACUCCCAAAUAUUCAAAACCUACAUGACACAAAUGUUUAAGAGUCUCUGCUUUACCGCUUAUGUAUAAGAUUAAGAUCCGAAGAUUUUCCUAUUCUAAUAAUGUCUAUAUUGUCUUCCGCCCUAGAUUUAAUAAUAGCUGCAGAGAAUGUGCAUUUCACUGCUAUCUCCUCUGAUUGUGAAUCAGGUUUCUAUUUUCUGUCAACAUUGGGCUUAACUCUUUCUCCACCAAAGUUGAAACAAAAAACCGAAUGGUACUGGAAAUCUUUCUCUACCUUAACUCUAUUCGACCAAAGAUAGACUUAGAUGAAAAACCAAAUACAAUCUAACCACAAAUCAAAACAAAAACCAAAUAAAAUCAAAGUAAAAAAGAGAAAACCCAACAGAAUCACUGAACCUAUGAAGCAGAAACACGAUACAGCAUGAGAGGGCGAGAGAGAGCGCGGGAGAAAGCAAGUGGAAGAAGAGCCAAAAUAGACUGAGAUUGGGAACCCUAAACCAUAACAAGAAGCUGUAGAGUGAGUGAGCGGAGAGUAGCGGACUGAUUGAGAGUGAGUAUGAAUGAUUUUAAAAAACAUUCAUUUGACACAAAUUUAAGGACAGAGAGAUCUAAAAUGUUUUAACUUCCCAAUGAAAUCAGGCAAAGUUUCAACUGAAGAAUAACUUAAAUUCAAAAUAUGCAAGUAUUUGUACCUUGAAACCAAUGUAAAGAAAGCUUCACUCUUGGCACCCACACCAUCCUUGGGAAAGAGAAUGGUUCUCACACCUACUGAUUUUGAACUCAUUGAAUUGUCAUCCAAAUCGUUUUCAACAAAUGACAGAUGACGAAUACUCUCAGGUAUACUUCGAAUGUGGGAAUUUACAAGUAGACACUCGUCUUUUGCAACAAACAGGGCUAGAUCAUUCGUACCUUUGGGUUCUGAGAUGGAUGGAUGGAUAGGACUUGUACCAGUCAAUCCAAGAGGUUUGAGAUCCCACAUGACAAGAGGGUUCUCCGUUCCAUCGGUGACGAGACUGUACCAUUUCCCCAUCAAGAACUUGCCAAGCACAACGGCGUUGGCCUUCACCUGCUUGGCGUAGGCCUUGAACCCACGCGUCGCGGCCUGUUUCGUUGUCACGGCGAGGCCCCCAAUCUGGUGGUCGUGAGGACCAUCCUGGAGAAAAGGGAAAACGGCAAAGUUGAUUUUGUCCUCGAAUUCAUAAACGGCGUUCUCUGGAUGAUCCUUCCGGUAGAAGAUCAUGCCCGCCCUGGCACCGCGCAAGCUCUUAUGUCGGAGGUGUAGUACCCGUGGGUGAGGUGACCGCCAGAGGGCAGAUCCAGCGCCAUGAUGCGGUCGUAGCGUUCAGCACCGCCGUGUACGCAGCAAAGUUGGUCAGGGAGCCCAAGUAGGGCUACACAUUGACCCCCCACGAUUGGGCAUCAAGGUGGAAGGCGGUGAGGGUGUGUGAGGGACACAGGUUCUUGUCAAUGAACUCGUUGUCGCCGUAGUAGCGAUUUCGACAAAGCCUUCGACAUAUUUGUUUCCAAGAGACCUUUAGGCAUUGUUUUUAACUCAUACUGGGAAUGCUUAUGAAAUACACUGUCAUGGAAUGGCCAUCCUUCUCUGCUGAAGAGUUUGCUGUGUUUGCCAAAUUCUUGUUUCUUAUGUAGUAAUUUCCAAAACCUCUAAUAUUUUACUCUUAACGGUUUAAAAAGUUUAAUUAUAAGGAAGAUGUUGAUUUAGCACAAUCUUUGUCAUUGAGGGGUGUUCUUUCAUCUCAUGAAAUUUUGUAUCAUCGAAUGCCACUACUUCAAAACCUGGAUUCUACAAUCAUGAGAUCCAAAAAUGAGAAGCACUUUGAUUUUGCCAUGUUAAAAAACAAACUACCAAUAAGGUUGAAGAAUGAAAAUUCUACAAUCAGACCACCUUAUCUAUAAAGUGAGAACAAAUAUACACCUGAAAGUUGUCCAAGUUAUUUAUUGUGCCACAACAAUUGAAUACAAACUAUAAAUCAAAGUAUCUUUUCUGACUGCGCUUAAAAUAAGAAUAUCAAUCAGCUUUAGACUUUAUUACUCAUUAGAUAUUUCUUUUAAAUAAUAAUUUGUGAUCCGUUGAUAUCAUCCACUGGACACGCCAUAGACGCAAACCGAUAUUGCAACCCGUUAAGUUAAUACAAUGAUACAGAGACACCCGUUAAGUUCAAACAAUCACAUUUGGCAGAAGAGAUACAAACAUUUGGAUACAAUCAAUUUUCAAAGGAGGUAGCUAAAAUCCAAUAUCUAAACUCUAGCUACACUAUCGAAUGCCUAAAACUAUCAACAAAUAGCAUAUGUUCCAUCCAAACAUCCAUGAAAACGUACACGAAAAAAUAAAAAGCUAGAGAAAUUCAAUCACCUCUCUCCUAAGCACUACCCCUCGUGGUUAUAAUAUAGAGAUCUACAUCCAAUUGUUAAUACAAAAUAACUUCCGACAUCAUCCCUAAAGUUGACGAGGUCAAGACAUCAAGAAGCAUGUGGAGUUAUGUUGUAAAAAAAUUCCAAAGCUUCUUCCCUAUUGAAGCUUCACCGGGUUGUUGGUAAUCUUCGUCGUCCUCGUUCUCAACUCCACCGGCAUCUUCCCCAAGGGAUUCACUCCUAUAGUCACCAUCAUUCUCCUCCGCAUCAUCUGCCGUUCCGUUCACCUCCUCACUCAAGGUUAUAUCAUUUGCGAAGGUCCCUGUGGUAUCACCACCAUAACCAUCCCUUGUCUCAACACCUUUAA
rnacentral:lncRNA from 1 species